UGGGGAAUUUUGGACAAUGGGCGAAAGCCUGAUCCAGCAAUGCCGCGUGUGUGAAGAAGGCCUUCGGGUUGUAAAGCACUUUUGUCCGGAAAGAAAUCCUUGGCUCUAAUACAGUCGGGGGAUGACGGUACCGGAAGAAUAAGCACCGGCUAACUACGUGCCAGCAGCCGCGGUAAUACGUAGGGUGCAAGCGUUAAUCGGAAUUACUGGGCGUAAAGCGUGCGCAGGCGGUUUGCUAAGACCGAUGUGAAAUCCCCGGGCUCAACCUGGGAACUGCAUUGGUGACUGGCAGGCUAGAGUAUGGCAGAGGGGGGUAGAAUUCCACGUGUAGCAGUGAAAUGCGUAGAGAUGUGGAGGAAUACCGAUGGCGAAGGCAGCCCCCUGGGCCAAUACUGACGCUCAUGCACGAAAAGCGUGGGGAGCAAAACAGGAUUAGAUACCCUGGUAGUCCACGCCCUAAAACGAUGUCAACUAGUUGUUGGGGAUUCAUUUCCUUAGUAACGUAGCUAACGCGUGAAGUUGACCGCCUGGGGAGUACGGUCGCAAGAUUAAAACUCAAAUGAAUUGACGGGGUCAUAGCUGUUU
rnacentral:rRNA from 1 species